GACGAACGCUGGCGGCGUGCUUAACACAUGCAAGUCGAACGGUAAGGCCCCUUCGGGGGUACACGAGUGGCGAACGGGUGAGUAACACGUGAGCAACCUGCCCUUGACUCUGGAACAACAGUUGGAAACAGCUGCUAAUACUGGAUAUUCAUCGUCUCCUUCCUGGGGGGUGGUGGAAAGCUCCGGCGGUCAGGGAUGGGCUCGCGGCCUAUCAGCUUGUUGGUGAGGUAAUGGCUCACCAAGGCUUCGACGGGUAGCCGGCCUGAGAGGGCGACCGGCCACACUGGGACUGAGAUACGGCCCAGACUCCUACGGGAGGCAGCAGUGGGGAAUAUUGCACAAUGGGCGCAAGCCUGAUGCAGCAACGCCGCGUGCGGGAUGACGGCCUUCGGGUUGUAAACCGCUUUCAGUAGGGACGAAGGGUGACUGACGGUACCUACAGAAGAAGGACCGGCUAACUACGUG
rnacentral:rRNA from 1 species